GGUCAAGCGAACAAGUGCAUGUGGUGGAUGCCUUGGCGAUUACAGGCGAUGAAGGACGCGGUAGCCUGCGAAAAGCUUCGGGGAGCUGGCAAACGAGCUUUGAUCCGGAGAUGUCCGAAUGGGGAAACCCGGCCCGAAUGGGUCAUCCCUGACUGAAUACAUAGGUCAGGGAAGCGAACGCGGCGAACUGAAACAUCUAAGUAGCUGCAGGAACAGAAAUCAACCGAGAUUCCCAAAGUAGUGGCGAACGAAAUGGGAAGAGCCUUGUACUCUUUAGCAGCAUUGUUAGCAGAACGGGAUGGAAAGCCCGGCCAUAGCAGGUGAUAGCCCUGUAUGCGAAAACAGCGUUGUGGAACUAGGUGUACGACAAGUAGGGCGGGACACGUGAAAUCCUGUCUGAAGAUGGGGGGACCAUCCUCCAAGGCUAAAUACUCGUAAUCGACCGAUAGUGAACCAGUACCGUGAGGGAAAGGCGAAAAGAACCCCGGGAGGGGAGUGAAAUAGAUCCUGAAACCGCAUGCAUACAAACAGUCGGAGCCUGGAAACGGGUGACGGCGUACCUUUUGUAUAAUGGGUCAGCGACUUACAUUCAGUGGCAAGCUUAACCGAUUAGGGAAGGCGUAGCGAAAGCGAGUCCGAAUAGGGCGUUGAGUCGCUGGGUGUAGACCCGAAACCAGAUGAUCUAUCCAUGGCCAGGUUGAAGGUGCGGUAACACGUACUGGAGGACCGAACCCACUAACGUUGAAAAGUUAGGGGAUGAGCUGUGGAUAGGGGUGAAAGGCUAAACAAAUCUGGAAAUAGCUGGUUCUCUCCGAAAACUAUUUAGGUAGUGCCUCGUGUCUCACCUUCGGGGGUAGAGCACUGUCAUGGUUGGGGGGUCUAUUGCUGAUUACCCCGCCAUAGCAAACUCCGAAUACCGAAGAGUGCAAUCACGGGAGACAGACAUCGGGUGCUAACGUCCGGUGUCAAGAGGGAAACAACCCAGACCGCCAGCUAAGGUCCCAAAGAUUGGCUAAGUGGGAAACGAAGUGGGAAGGCUAAAACAGUCAGGAGGUUGGCUUAGAAGCAGCCACCCUUUAAAGAAAGCGUAAUAGCUCACUGAUCGAGUCGUCCUGCGCGGAAGAUGUAACGGGGCUAAGCCAGUCACCGAAGCUGCGGACGCACGCAAGUGCGUGGUAGGAGAGCGUUCUGUAAGCCUGUGAAGGUGUCUUGUAAAGGAUGCUGGAGGUAUCAGAAGUGCGAAUGCUGACAUGAGUAGCGAUAAAGGGGGUGAAAGGCCCCCUCGCCGUAAGCCCAAGGUUUCCUACGCAACGUUCAUCGGCGUAGGGUGAGUCGGCCCCUAAGGCGAGGCAGAGAUGCGUAGCUGAUGGGAAGCAGGUUAAUAUUCCUGCACCGUCGUAUGAUGCGAUGGGGGGACGGAUCGCGGAAGGUUGUCCGGGUGUUGGAAGUCCCGGUCCCUGCAUUGGAGAAGGCGCUUAGGCAAAUCCGGGCGCGGAAUUCAAGGAUGUGGGGCGAGCGGCCUAGUGCUGCGAAGCAAUUGGAAGUGGUUCCAAGAAAAGCCUCUAAGCUUCAGUCAUACGAGACCGUACCGCAAACCGACACAGGUGGGCGAGAUGAGUAUUCUAAGGCGCUUGAGAGAACUCGGGAGAAGGAACUCGGCAAAUUGGUACCGUAACUUCGGGAUAAGGUACGCCCUUGUAGCUUGACUGGCCUGCGCCAGGAGGGUGAAGGGGUUGCAAUAAAAUGGUGGCUGCGACUGUUUAAUAAAAACACAGCACUCUGCAAACACGAAAGUGGACGUAUAGGGUGUGACGCCUGCCCGGUGCCGGAAGAUUAAAUGAUGGGGUGCAAGCUCUUGAUUGAAGUCCCGGUAAACGGCGGCCGUAACUAUAACGGUCCUAAGGUAGCGAAAUUCCUUGUCGGGUAAGUUCCGACCUGCACGAAUGGCGUAACGAUGGCCACACUGUCUCCUCCCGAGACUCAGCGAAGUUGAAGUGUUUGUGAUGAUGCAAUCUCCCCGCGGCUAGACGGAAAGACCCCAUGAACCUUUACUGUAGCUUUGCAUUGGACUUUGAACCGAUCUGUGUAGGAUAGGUGGGAGGCUUUGAAGCGUGGACGCUAGUUCACGUGGAGCCGUCCUUGAAAUACCACCCUGGUUUGUUUGAGGUUCUAACCUUGGCCCGUGAAUCCGGGUCGGGGACAGUGCAUGGUAGGCAGUUUGACUGGGGCGGUCUCCUCCCAAAGUGUAACGGAGGAGUUCGAAGGUACGCUUGGUACGGUCGGACAUCGUACCUAAAGUGCAAUGGCAAAAGCGUGCUUAACUGCGAGACCGACAAGUCGAGCAGGUGCGAAAGCAGGACAUAGUGAUCCGGUGGUUCUGAAUGGAAGGGCCAUCGCUCAACGGAUAAAAGGUACUCUGGGGAUAACAGGCUGAUACCGCCCAAGAGUUCAUAUCGACGGCGGUGUUUGGCACCUCGAUGUCGGCUCAUCUCAUCCUGGGGCUGUAGCCGGUCCCAAGGGUAUGGCUGUUCGCCAUUUAAAGAGGUACGUGAGCUGGGUUUAAAACGUCGUGAGACAGUUUGGUCCCUAUCUGCCGUGGGCGUUGGAAUCUUGACGGGGGCUGCUCCUAGUACGAGAGGACCGGAGUGGACGUACCGCUGGUGUACCUGUUGUCUCGCCAGAGGCAUCGCAGGGUAGCUAUGUACGGAAGAGAUAACCGCUGAAAGCAUCUAAGCGGGAAACUCGCCUGAAGAUGAGGAUUCCCUGGAGGCUUGACCUCCUUGAAGGGUCGUUCGAGACCAGGACGUUGAUAGGCUGG
rnacentral:rRNA from 1 species